rnacentral:rRNA from 1 species
GCGGCAAGAUUGAGGGCUCGGCGAGUGAGCGGCAGAGCUCAAAUUUGAAAUCUGGCCCCCUCGGGGUCCGAGUUGUAAUUUGCAGAGGAUGCUUCGGGUGCGGUCCCCAUCUAAGUGCCCUGGAACGGGCCGUCAUAGAGGGUGAGAAUCCCGUCUGGGAUGGGCGGCCGCGCCCGUGUGAAGCUCCUUCGACGAGUCGAGUUGUUUGGGAAUGCAGCUCUAAGCGGGUGGUAAAUUUCAUCUAAAGCUAAAUACUGGCCGGAGACCGAUAGCGCACAAGUAGAGUGAUCGAAAGAUGAAAAGCACUUUGAAAAGAGAGUUAAACAGCACGUGAAAUUGUUGAAAGGGAAGCGUUGUCCACCAGACUCGCCCGGGGGGGUUCAGCCGGCACGUGUGCCGGUGUACUCCUCUCCGGGCGGGCCAGCAUCGGUUUGGGCGGCUGGUGAAAGGCCCCGGGAAUGUACCACCCUCCGGGGUGUCUUAUAGCCCGGGGUGCCAUACAGCCAGCCUGGACCGAGGCCCGCGCUUCGGCGAGGAUGCUGGCGUAAUGGUGGUCAACGGCCCGUCUUGAAACACGGACCCA